GCCGGUACCCGGCUGUAAGGCAAGCUGGGAUGCGCGGAGUAGCGGGUGGAAAGCUGGACUGGAGUUCUCACUCGGCCGCUGGGUGACUUCGGUGCACUAGGGAUAGUAACAGUACCACCUCGUAGGGUUGUAGAAAGACCAAGUGAGUUAAUAUUUGUAAAGUGUUUAGAACAGCGUCUACUGCAUGGAAAGUAGUAUUUAUUUGUUAGAGAGACUCCAGGAGGUCUUGCCCAGGGAUUGACUUCUCCCUUCCCUGUCUCCACCCCCCACAUUCCCGUUUGUGAGCCAAGCCUUGCUUUUGCACCGGCCGGGCUCUCUUGCCUGGAAAUGCAUACCCAUCUCAAACCUGGGCUUUAAAAUCACCUCCUCUGGGACGCCUUCCUCUACUUCUCACAGUUCAGGCCUGUUCUGCCCCACACAGCAGAAAAUGCCCACGAUGCAAUACCAGAGUCUGCAUGGGACCAUUUCAACAACCCUUAGAAGCUGACUCAGCUGUCUCCUGGCCCUGACUUUUCUAAGAUGAGAGGAGCUGGUAGGAACAAUUUGGGAACCCUCAAAGGCUGAGAGUAUCCCACCCACUUCACAGAUGAAGCAAACUGAGGCCCAGAGAAGGGAAAUUACUUGCCCAAGAUCACCCAGCAAGUAAGAAACAGAGCUGGAGAUGAGCUCAGGCCAGCACGGAACCACGCAAACUCCUUCUGUAGGCUUUGUAAAGGAUUGAUGAGAAAAGCAGAUGGUUAAGAGCUCUACAACUUCUGUGAGCUCAUGCCUAAGGAAUCUACAGUGUUUAAAGCUCCCCAGGGCCAGGCGUGGUGGUUCACACCUGUAAUCCCAGCACUUUGGGAGGCUGAGGCAGGCGGAUCACCUGGGGUCAGGAGUUCAAGACCAGCCUGGCUGACAUGGUGAAACCCCAUCUCUACUAAUAAUACAAAAAAAAAAGCUGGGCAUGGUGGCAUGCACCUGUAGUCCCAGCUACUAGGGAGGCUGAGGCACAAGAAUGGCUUGAACCUGGGAGGCGAAGGUUGCAGUGAACCAAGAUCGCGCCACUGUACUCCAGCCUGGGCAACAGAGCAAGACAGAGACUCCAUCUCAAAAUAAAUAAAUAGAAGGCUCUCCAGGACAUUUUGAUGCCCACUGGGAUAUGGGAACUCCUGCCAUGGGGAGGAGGGCGUCUUUAAGAAGGAAUAGGCCCUAUUGAGAUGCCAGCUGUAGACCUCUAGGAGUUGACCAUCGAGCCUGAGAAGGUAAGGAGAGGGUGUAGGAGACCCCUGACUCUGACCUCCACCCUCUCAUUCCUCUCCAGGGCAGUCCCGCACUCUGAUGGCCACAUCUGGUGCCAGGUAGUUUCUCGUAAAGAUCUACACUCACAUUACAACCUAGACAUCCCACUAGUAGGUAUUUACCCAAGACACCUGAAAGCAUGUGUGUACCCAAAGACUCGUAAAUGAAUGCAACUCUAUAUGUAAUAGCCAAAAUUAGAAACAAUCCAAAUGUUCAUCAGCAGGUGAGUGGUAAAACAAGUUGUGAUAUGUUCAUACAAUGUUGCUACUCAGUAAUAAAAAGAAAUGAGCUACAGAUACAGAUAAGGAAACUUGGAGGUGAUAUGUUCAUAAUCUUGUUUGGGUCAAAGGUUUCAGGGAUGUAUACAUGUGUCAAAACAUAUCAAACCGUAUAAUUUAAAUACGUGCUGCUUAUUGUAUGUCAAUUAUAUCUCAAUAAAGCUGUUAUAAAAAUCUGAUGCCAGUUCUGUGCACCCACGGCCAGUGACAAUCCCAAGGCCACAUUGAAUGAUUACUGUGCAUGAGGUACUGUGUGCUGAGCACUCUAUGGAGAUUUUUCCUUUAACCUUCACAAUAGCCUUAGGAGGUGGCACUAUUAUUAUUAAUACCUCUGUUUACAUAGGCAGAAAGGAAAGCUCAGAAAGGUUAAAUCACUUCUCCAAGGAAAUGUCACCUGACUGAAUUCCAGCCCCAGCUUUACCCCUAACCUAAUCCAAGCUGUGUUCUAAUUUGUUUUUAUGAUUAUACAAGCAUUGUAAUCAUUAUGGAAAGCAAAAGAAAACAUGUUUCAAUUGCUUUCAGCCAACCCCUGUACAUCAUUGAAUCCCUAUAUGUCUAGUGAUUUUUUUUUUUAUUUGAGAUGGACCUUCACUCUGUUGCCCAGGCUGGAGUGCAGUAGCGCAAUCACUCUGUUGCCCAGGCUGGAGUGCAGUGGCGCGAUCUCGGCUCACUGCAACCUCUGCCUUCCGGGUUCAAGUGAUUCUCCUGCCUCAGCCUCCUGAGUAGCUGGGAUUACAGGCACACGCCACCACGCCCGACUAAUUUUUGUAUUUUUUAGUAGAGACGGGGUUUCACCAUGUUGGUCAGGCUGGUCUCAAACUCCUGACCUCGUGAUCUGCCUGCCUCAGUCUCCCAAAGUGCUGGGAUUACAGGCAUAAGCCACUGCGCUCGGCCUAUGUCUAGUGACUGUUAUAGGCAGUAUUUUUUUUUUUCUUUUUGAGACAGGGCCUCACUCUGCUGCCCAGUCUGGAGUGCAGUGGCACAAUCAAAGCCCACUGCAGCCUUGAUCUCCUGGGCUCAAGUUAUCCUCCCAGCUCAGCCUCCCAAAUAGUAGCUGGGACUACAAGUGCAUGUUAGCAUACUCAGCUAAUUCUUAAUUUUCUUUUUUUUUUUUUUUUUUUUUUUUUUUUGGAGAGACCAGGUCUCACUAUGUUGCCCAGGCUAGUCUUGAACUCCUGGGCUCAAGCGAUCCUCCUGCCUCAGCCUCCCAAAGUGCUGGAUUACAGGCAUGAGCUACCACACCCAGCCUAGCCAGUAUUUUUUUUAUCACUAUCAUUCAGUAAUGUACAUAGCAUUUUGUUUGCCCCACCCUUCCUACCCCAACCUUAUCUCUUUCCAUGUGUUUUUUGUUGUUGUUGUUUUUGUUUUUGAGAUGGAGUUUCACUCUUGUUGCCCAGGCUGGAGUGCAAUGGUGCAAUCUCGGCUCACCACAACCUCCGCCUCCCAGGUUCAAGUGAUUCUCCUGCCUCAGGCUCCUGAAUAGCUGGGAUUAUAAGCGCACCCCACCAUGCCUGUCUAAUUUUUGUAUUUUUAGUAGAGACAGGGUUUCAUUCACCAUGUUGGUCAGGCUGGUCUCGAAUUCCUGACCUCGUGAUCCACGAGCCUCGGCCUCCCAAAGUGCUGGGAUUACAGGCAUGAGCCCCCGCGCCUGGCCUUCCAUGUGGUCUUAUACUCUUCUACAUAAAGAACACCAUGAACAACAGCUUUUAGGGAAGGUGAUUUUUUUUUUUGUUUUGUUUUUAAGAAAAGCCCUGGGAGUGGAAUGCAGGGCUCAAAAGUGUUUAUGCAUUUUUCUCUCAUCUGGAAAAACACAACUGAACCUUUUUAUUGCUUAGUCUAGAUUGGAACCUUCCUGGCACUCUAAUCCAGACCCUGAAAUUCCUGUAACAUUUGUAAGUUUGGCCACUAAGCAUCUGUUCUACCCAUGCCUGAAGGAAGUAGCUCAUGCCCCAGGACCAGGAAUAGGUUUUGAUGGGUCUUAGCCAAUCCACAUGUCCCACCCGCCGUCUGCAGCCAUUUAUUCAGG
rnacentral:lncRNA from 1 species